rnacentral:rRNA from 1 species
AGAGAGAGACAUGCGCGCAUAUCAAUAAGCGGAGGAAAAGAAACUAACAAGGAUUCCCCUAGUAACGGCGAGUGAAGCGGGAAGAGCUCAAAUUUGAAAUCUUAAAGGGUUUCCCUUUACGAAUUGUAGUUUAAAGAAGUGUUUUCUGUUGAGGUUUUGGUAAAAGUUCUUUGGAAUAGGACAUCAUAGAGGGUGAGAAUCCCGUAUUUGACCUUUACUUUCAACUUUGUGAUACACUUUUAAAGAGUCGGAUUGUUUGGGAAUGCAGUCCAAAAUGGGUGGUAAAUUUCAUCUAAAGCUAAAUAUUGGCGAGAGACCGAUAGCGAACAAGUACCGUGAGGGAAAGAUGAAAAGAACUUUGAGAAGAGAGUUAAACAGUACGUGAAAUUGUCAAAAGGGAAGCGUUUGACACCAGUGUUGUUUUUCUGAAAAUCAAUUAAAGAACUGUUUAUGCUAAGCUGUUUAGACUUUAUCAGCUAACUGUUUAGUUUUGAGCUUUUCUUUAAUGCACUUUUCAGUUAACAAGUCAACAUCAAUUUCUUUUGCUGUAAAAAAGCUUGAGGAAGGUGGCUUGAGAUUCGUCUUAAGUGUUUAUAGCCUCUUGCCUAUGCAGUCGGAGAGAUUGAGGUCUGCAGCGUAGAUCCUUCGGGGCUAAAUGCAUUUGUGCUAAGUUAUAGCAUUUUAUAGACAACUUGUUGACUAUGAUUUGUCUUGUAGCUUACUCGCUUAUGUUAUUUUACCUACGCUUAGGAUGUUGACGCAUGAGAUAUACGC